UUGGUUUGUCCAAAGUCAAACUUGUUCAACUUUGACCAAAUCUAUAGAAAAAUAUAGCAACAACUAUACUAUCAAAUAUAUGCACUAUCAAAACAUAUUUCAUGUUGGAUUCAACCAAACAAAUUUGGUAUUAUAAAUAUUAUUAUAGUUUUAUAUAAAUUUGGUAAAAGUUGAACAAGUUUGACUUAGGAUAAACCAAC
rnacentral:pre_miRNA from 1 species